rnacentral:rRNA from 1 species
GUAGGUGGCAAGCGUUGUCCGGAAUUAUUGGGCGUAAAGCGCGCGCAGGCGGUUCUUUAAGUCUGAUGUGAAAGCCCACGGGCUCAACCGUGGAGGGUCAUUGGAAACUGGAGAACUUGAGUACAGAAGAGGAAAGCGGAAUUCCACGUGUAGCGGUGAAAUGCGUAGAGGUGUGGAGGAACACCAGUGGCGAAGGCGGCUUUCUGGUCUGUAACUGACGCUGAGGCGCGAAAGCGUGGGGAGCAAACAGGAUUAGAUACCCUGGUAGUCCACGCCGUAAACGAUGAGUGCUAAGUGUUAGGGGGUUUCCGCCCCUUAGUGCUGCAGCUAACGCAUUUAGCACUCCGCCUGGGGAGUACGGCCGCAAAGGCUG